GGGGGCGACCUGGUUUCGACAGGGGUUGUGAAGCGGUCAGGGCAUACCGAGGACCCGUCACCUCGUUAAUCAAUGGGAAAAACGUAACUGCAAACGACGAUACGUUCGCACUGGCAGCCUAAGGGCUAGCCGUCCUCUCACUAACUCGCUGACGGGUUGGGUAGCAAUACAACGAGAGGUCAUAUACGUCAGAUAAGCUCUGGUGGCGUCACGACGCUAGAGUCGAAAAUCCAGUGAAUCGCCGUAACGCAGCGUGUUCGUCCGCGUCGUUGCGGUUAAAUCAAAAGACAGAACUAAGUAUGUAGAACUGGUCGUAGAGCGCUUCUGGACGCGGGUUCGAUUCCCGCCGCCUCCACCA
rnacentral:tmRNA from 1 species